rnacentral:rRNA from 1 species
UCGAGAAUUUUUCUCAAUGGGCGAAAGCCUGAAGGAGCGACGCCGCGUGGGGGAUGAAUGGCUUCGGCCCGUAAACCCCUGUCAUUUGCGAACAAACCUGCUCACUUAACACGUGUGUAGCUGAUUGUAGCGAAAGAGGAAGGGACGGCUAACUCUGUGCCAGCAGCCGCGGUAAUACAGAGGUCCCAAGCGUUGUUCGGAUUUACUGGGCGUAAAGGGUGCGUAGGUGGUGAGGUAAGUCUUAUGUGAAAGCUCGGAGCUUAACUCCGAAAUUGCAUAGGAAACUACUUUGCUGGAGGAUUGGAGGGGGGACUGGAAUACUUGGUGUAGCAGUGAAAUGCGUAGAUAUCAAGUGGAACACCAGUGGCGAAGGCGAGUCCCUGGACAAUUCCUGACACUGAGGCACGAAAGCUAGGGGAGCAAACGGGAUUAGAUACCCCGGUAGUCC